GAUGGAUUUCCUACCUGCUGGAUGUGUGGACUCGGAGAACUGCGUCGUUCUUUCAAAUCUGGAAAGACGAUGGGCCUCAGAGGUCUAGUGAAGUUCAGGAAGGUAUUGAUUUAAAGAUGGAAGGAUCAGGGAAGAUACGGCCUUGGAGCCCCUUUCGGUCUCGCGACGGCUGAACCUCGGCAGCUGCGGCUGUGGAUGUGGCGAAUCCAGGCUCCUCUCUCUGUCCUUCGUCGUGUUGUUGCCUUUGACUACUUUUUUCUGGACUUGGACACACUGAAUUUUUGGGGCAUCUCCUGGGUGCUGCAGAGAGGCUCCGCGCGCUGGCGAGAGGGAGGUUCCCACGCAGACGGACGCCACCCGGGAUGCUACCGACUAAAGCAUAUGGUGAACAUCAGCCACUGCCUCCCAACUGUCACGCAGCCAUUACCGUGCUGCUUGAGUUUUAUGUGACACAAACAAUUCUCAGAGUUUUAUCAAAUUUAAUUUUUUCUAACCUUCAGCUUAGGAAAAAAUAUAGUCAUAAUGCAGAGGUCCAGCUCUCUGCAGAGAAAGGAGGGGGGCAGCAUAAUUCAGAUUUUGGGAGCUGAUAGGCUAAAUUUACCAUUGUGCGUGGUCAAGCUGCUAUUGAUGCUUGAGAGUUUUCAAUCGCUGUUAAUUGACUGGGGAAAAAAGAUAAUGUGUUUGAUCGAUCAGCAUGGACAAAUUUCAUUUAGGGGAUCAAUAACAGUUUAUACUUGACAGAGCAGAGGGACCACAUUUAUUUUUCCCUUUGAUUGAAUAAAUGUUUUCAAUGAGACUGCA
rnacentral:lncRNA from 1 species